rnacentral:lncRNA from 1 species
GGAAACUGGGCGCACACACCCUCGGAUUGACGUGCGCACGCGCACCGGUUACCUUCAGGAGCGCCGAAGAAGGAAAGAAGACAUGCUCAUCAUGCCCUGCAAACUCCUAUGAACUGGAACUACAGCAGCUGUUCUGCCAGGGACAGGUUCUUCUCUAAAGUUCCAGCUCUCUGGAGGGAGAAAGCCCUGACUUUGGACUGCCAGCUCCGUGACAGCAAGAACCUUGUAUGACUUUUUCAUGAUGGAUGUUCAUCUGUGCCAUCUGUAAAUAUUGAAUAAAUAUUUGUGGAAUACAUGAAUCUAAAAGUGAAUGGAAUGAUAAAGAGGGAAAGGGUCAUGACAUCUACUACAGCAUUUGGCACAGACCCAGCUGUCUGCAGUACUAUCAAGAGAUGACAUGGACUUCAAGGAUCAAACAGGGGAGAAAAAGGCUUAAAAGAAAAACAAGUCUCCAUCAAAGGUAAUAACCACAAUGAGAACUAUACAUAGCUAUGUGCUUAUAGGUCUUAGUUCACAUUCCCCUCAUUAAAAUUAUAGCUCAAGAAAUAAAGGGCUGUUUAAUGACUUGGGUAUAUAAAUAUACUUCAUUUGUAUAUUUUUUACUUGCUAAAAUCUAUCCAAAUUGGUAUUACCUCAAACCAUAAUCUUCUACUGUAUUUUAUAAUUUUACUUUAUUGCCAUGUAUUUUUCCCACUGAUGUUCACAAAUUCACAGGAAACAUCAGCCAUGUACUAAAUAAAAUAUGAAUUGAAUCGA